rnacentral:rRNA from 1 species
GCCUUAGUAACGGCGAGUGAAGCGGCAAAAGCUCAAAUUUGAAAUCUGGCACCUUCGGUGUCCGAGUUGUAAUUUGAAGAAGGUAACUUUGGAGUUGGCUCUUGUCUAUGUUCCUUGGAACAGGACGUCACAGAGGGUGAGAAUCCCGUGCGAUGAGAUGCCCAAUUCUAUGUAAAGUGCUUUCGAAGAGUCGAGUUGUUUGGGAAUGCAGCUCUAAGUGGGUGGUAAAUUCCAUCUAAAGCUAAAUAUUGGCGAGAGACCGAUAGCGAACAAGUACAGUGAUGGAAAGAUGAAAAGAACUUUGAAAAGAGAGUGAAAAAGUACGUGAAAUUGUUGAAAGGGAAGGGCUUGAGAUCAGACUUGGUAUUUUGCGAUCCUUUCCUUCUUGGUUGGGUUCCUCGCAGCUUACUGGGCCAGCAUCGGUUUGGAUGGUAGGAUAAUGACUAAGGAAUGUGGCUCUACUUCGGUGGAGUGUUAUAGCCUUGGUUGAUACUGCCUGUCUAGACCGAGGACUGCGUCUUUUGACUAGGAUGUUGGCAUAAUGAUCUUAAGCCACCC